CCACCUUAGUCUGCAUCACCACUUGCCAUCAGGUUUAAUUGCAGUCAAGUGCUAACUUUUAUAAAUUUUUAA